rnacentral:rRNA from 1 species
CAGUAGCCGCGGUAAUACGAAGGGUGCAAGCGUUAAUCGGAAUUACUGGGCGUAAAGCGCGCGUAGGUGGUUCAUUAAGUUGGAUGUGAAAGCCCCGGGCUCAACCUGGGAACUGCAUCCAAAACUGGCGAGCUAGAGUAUGGUAGAGGGUGGUGGAAUUUCCUGUGUAGCGGUGAAAUGCGUAGAUAUAGGAAGGAACAUCAGUGGCGAAGGCGACCACCUGGACUGAUACUGACACUGAGGUGCGAAAGCGUGGGGAGCAAACAGGAUUAGAUACCCCCGUAGUCCCUGUCUCUUAUAC